rnacentral:lncRNA from 10 species
GGAAGUGUUCUGGGGUCGCCCCCACGGCGGCGCGGCGGAGCUCAGCCUCGAUCUCGCGAAACCGAGCGAGACUACGGAAGGCCGAAGGAUUGGGCUCAGCAUUGCUUGGGCUAAAGGCUGACUAGGGCUUCCAGGAAGUGAUGUAUGUGAGAAGUUUGCUUUUUAAAGUGUACGUGGGAUCGUUAUUACGUCGAAAUAGCUCGAGCUGUAACCUAGGGUAAAUAAUAAUUCCUUUUCGUAUUCAUCAAGGUGCUUCUAAGUGCCAGUGCCAGGAGUCUUGCUCUGUUGCCCAGGCUUGAGUGCAGUGGCACGAUCUUGGCUCACUGCAACCUCCACCUCCCGAGUUCAAGCGAUUCUCCUGCCUCACCCUCCUGAGUAGCUGGGACUACAGGCCUGCGCCACCACACCUGGCUAACUUCUGAAUAUCAAGCUGAAAUUACUAUCAGAUAUCUUGCCACCACAUAGAGGCUUUGAGUGAAGUCUGCAUGGAGGAGAACAGAGCUGAGAGAUGGAAAGAUACUGAAUCCCAGUGACGUCCUUUGAGAUGUCGGAUCAAGCUGAGCUGGGCAUGAAGAUAGAGCUACUCCUAUACUUUUAAGAUACCAAUAACAAGCAAGAUUCAGAAGUCCAACAAGUAAGACAUUGAUUUCAUUAAGAGAGAACUAGUAAGCAAGCUAUUUGGGAAGUACACUCUCAUAAGAAUAUUGUUUCAUGAAGUCUUGAGCAACAAAGGAAAUAGUCCAUGAAGUGCACUGCUGUCAGACUCCCUCUAAGAAUACUUCAACUGCUCAUGAAGCGGGGGGCCUUAACUAUUUACUUCUUUUGGAAGCCUCCAUCUGGCCCAUCUAUCUUUAUUCUCCCAGGAUCACAGCCCUUUGCGUCAUGCCAAGGAAGCCUUGGAAUAUUUUGUUUCUGAGGCCAAGUUUCAUUGGCCUGUCAAGGGAUAAUCCUUCAUCUGGGAAAAGAAAUGGACAUGGAGCUACUGCACACAAGGUUUGGGGUGUUUUUCUCUUAAGAAAUAUAAACAUUAAACACGGGAAGUAACGAGAACAUGAAGCGUUCUUCAGAUUCUGCACAUCUUGCCCCACAUCAUAAGAUUUUCUGCUUGCUGCUGAAUCAUUUCUAUUGGAGGAAAGUGUAAUGCACAUUUCACUGCCCCAAAUAAAACCGGAAAAGUAGCAUUUGUAUAUUGUCACUAACAAUCACGUUCUGUGCGAAAGAGUGAGGAAGAUCAUCUCAGCUCCAGUGAAGCACUAACUGUGAACAAGCCCUUCUUUGUCCAUCUCUCCUGUAAUUAGAUGUGGGUCAGGGGUUGCCACUGUUGGGAAAUUUGAAACAAUAAAAGAAAAGGACUCUCACAAGAAAGGGCCAUGCAAAC